CCAAAGAAGCCGGCCGAGCACGCGCUCUCUCCCGACAGCCAACACAGCUGGACGGUCGCCGGAGCUGCUGCCUGGAACAUAUUCUGCUGCUCGCUGUUGCGACGGGGCAUGCCGGUGAUGUUCCACGCCGUGGGCGAGACGUUCGCCACCACAGCCAAGGGCUCGGUCGCCUGGACGAACGCGUUCAUCUACAGCCUGGCGUACACGCUGUGAUUGGGCGCGGCGCUAUCUUCUGUCGUGGAUGAGACGGCGCUGCACCUGCACUUCUUGGCACAGCGUCGACAGGCUGCGUUACUCUACCACGCGGCUUUCUCGCUGUCCGCCAUCGUGUACCCCCUGGUGCUCUCGCUCCUGCUGGAAUUAUACGGCCUGAACGGCGCCCUGCUUGUAUCCGGCGCUAUAUCUCUGAACGCCCUGGUCGGCUCCAUGUUCAUGACAAGGCCCGUAUGGAUGUCCCCGAGUGACCCACUGCCACCAAUUCACCGGCCAGAUGGUACACAGACCACCGCAACCGCUGCCAUUCAACCAGUAACGCAGGCUCCAGAGAAGACCGCGAAACAGGACGUCAACCAGAAGCCGGAGGUUCCCACGGUGUGUUCAUCGCCACGAGUGGUUAUCCCAUGUGGCUGAUAUCACGAGAUGCCGUAAAUAAGUUAC
rnacentral:lncRNA from 1 species